UUCAAAGAAGGCCCAAAUCAUAUCCCAAAUCACUCAUUACCCAACACUUCGUUUCAUAAAUGUCCUAAGGUGAGAUUUAAAACCGAACAAAGCAUGAUUGAGCACAAAUAAAUUCCAAAUUUAAAAUGCAAAACAUUCAACCAAAGCAAAGCACAAGGUGUGAUUCCUAGCAAUAAUUCACUUCUACGUUCCGUUGAAUCGAAAGCUAGACAAAUACAUACUCCUUAUCAACAUAAAACAAGUAGUUUCAUCAUCAAACAUUGACCAUCUACCAUCAUCGUAAUUCAUCGAUGCAUCGAACAAAUUUUUUUUUUUUCUUUUUUUUUUUUUUUUUAUUUUUUUUUUAUUUUUUUGUUUUUUCAUAAUAAAAACGAAAAUAAUAAAACGGCAACUAAAACAAAAACUAAAGCAUGCAAAAUAAAAUAAAAUAAAAAAAACACAAAUAAGGCGCACAUAAAAUAAAACAAGUAGUUAACCACCCCCAAACUUAAAAUUCACAUUGCCCUCAAUGUGAUUCGCCCGGAGUUUAAGGAUAGAAAACACCUGUUUUUAAGCGUCGGGACCAUCGUCGGGUUGUUGGAUUUUUAUCGGUUUUCUUGCCCUUCCCUUUGCUCUUUGAAGUGCAUUCGCCUUGUGAGGUGCCCUCCCCGUCACGUCCUCGUUUCCCCACUUUCUUGAACCCUCCUUGCACAAAUCAGCAACAAACAACCGAGAUAAGCAACAAUAUGUGUGUAGUUGGUGAAUUUUCGGUGAAAUUGUUCAAGAAAGUCGAAAAUUUUG
rnacentral:lncRNA from 1 species